GUCUCUGUGGCGCAAGCGGUUAGCGCGUUCGGAUGUUAACCGAAAGGUUGGUGGUUCAAGCCCACCCAGGACC
rnacentral:tRNA from 1 species